AUGCAGCCGGCCGUGUUCGAGGCCCUGCUCCAUUUUAUCUACACCGAUUCGCUGCCCGCCAUGGUUGAUCCUGGCCGUGAUGACUACAAAGAGAUUGUUAUGCAUUUGUUUGUCGCGGCGGAUCGGUAUGCCAUGGAGAGGCUCAAGGUCAUAUGUGAAAGCAUCCUCUGUAAGAACAUUCAUGCAAAGACCGUGAUGACCUCGCUAGCCUUGGCUGAUCAGCAUCGCUGCAACAGGUUGAAUGAUGCUUGCAUUCAGUUCAUUGCCUCCUUGGAUGCAACGGAACUGGAUGAUGUGAUAGCGAGCCAAGAGUAUGCUGAGCUCAAAGCAACAUCUCCUUUGGUUUUAGUUGAACGAAUAGGCUCGGCAAAUCAAAGUCGUCAGUUCAUAUUGGUAGUUUAG
rnacentral:rRNA from 1 species